CAGGGCUGGUUUGACAGGUCUGUCUUAUACAUAACCCCAAGACAAGCACCGGCAGUCAGAGUGGGAGCUUUCAAUCCCCCCUUGCACACUAGUGAGGUUCUUCAAUACUGAACCAGAGAAGGGAGAAGAGGAUUACAGCUGCAUGAACCAAUUAGCCAACAGCUGCUCCAGCACAAGAGUGAACAUUCAGUGCCAAUAGUUCGCAGGAGGUUUGUAAUGGGGACACCCAUGAACAGAACCAGCUCGAUUUGGGUUUUAUUUUUCCAGGGGCACAACUAAGUAUCCUGGAUUUGCCAAGAACUGGGGAGAAGAUCCAUUAUGAAAGCCUGUCCUAUUUCCAAUGCCAGUGGAAAUAAUUUUUUUUAAAAAGGGAAGAAAUCAGACCGAUACUGGGACUCUCUGUUGAAGGACUUGUCAUCAUGAGAUCUCCAGGCCAAAAUUUUGGUGAAGAUUCAAACAAGCAUCCACAUGAGUGUUUCUCUUAUUCAGCACCUCUCACAAUUAAAGCUCCUCUUUACUCUGCACCGCAUCAGCUUAUAACUGAGAGUUACAGUGAUCCAUGAGAAAAAAUAACUCCCCAGAAGGAAAGGAUUAAAGUUUGGGACUUCAGGGAUGCCAGAAAUCUGACAGGAUGUCUGGACUGCUGAUGCAUCAAGCAUGAUUCAUGCCCAAGCAAUGUGGAUGGGCCAGUGGCAGAGGAGGCAGUCAGACAGGUUGGUUUAGACAUCUCUGAGCCCUGCUGGAGGAGAGAAUGGGAGGAAAAGAAUGGCACCCAGGGACCUUGGGAGCUGUAGUUGGAUAAAUUCCCCCAUUUAACAAAGGAGAGAGAAGACCAUAGAGACCACCAGACUAGGUAGAGAUGACUCCUCCAUGGAGAGAUGUUAAUGAAAGACCCAGAAGCCUGCCAACAAUUUACAAAUUACACCAGUUUGAGUAAUGAAAAUUCUCAUGCAUAAAUAAGUCAAUAGAUCCAACUGAGUUCUCCAACAGGAUUUUUUUUAAGACUAAGAGUCAUCUCAAUUUUGAAAUUUCUGCUUAGGUCAAAAGUAAUUUUAACACAAAAUCCACUAUGAAAGAAAAACAAACAAACCAGUCAGCCCCCGGACUGAAUAUUAAAGUUACUCCACAUCUAGAAUGAGUAAGAAAGAUAACUGUUUAGAAGUUACCAUGCCCUUCUUUUUAAAAUUUCCCAUACUGUUCUUCCUCACAAGUUAUAUUUUGGACAACAGCAAAGUGCCUGACAGUUGUCAACUCUGAUAAGUAGAAAAAGGUGUACAGAGCUGGGGGUCUGGCCAGCAUAGAUGUGCCUCCAGAGAGUCACUAGACUAGAGGUUAAAAAGUGGGUUCUAAGACAGGGGAAGGAAGGAUGGCUACUAGCACAACAGGACCCCAUUCUUUGUUGGGCCUCAGGGACUAGUGUAAUAAACACGAUUACUGUCAACAAAUACA